GACGAACGCUGGCGGCGUGCUUAACACAUGCAAGUCGAACGGUGCUGCCCCUUUUUUUUUGGUGGGUGUGGAUGGGUGGCGGAUGGGUGACUCACACGUGAGUAACCUGCCACUUUUUUCUGACUAACUGCAUGAAAGUGUGGCUAAUACGGGUUUUUCUGUGUCUGUCGCUUUGUCGGUGUGGGAUUCAUUUUUGUUGGGUUGGGGUGGGGGUUGGGCCCGCUGCCUUUCAGCUUGUUGGUGGGGUGAUGGCCUGCCAAGGCGGUGACGGGUAGCCGGCCUGAGAGGGUGGACGGUCACACUGGGACUGAGACACGGCCCAGACUCCUACGGGAGGCAGCAGUGGGGGAUAUUGCACAAUGGGCGCAAGCCUGAUGCAGCGACGCCGCGUGAGGGAUGGAGGCCUGCGGGUUGUGAACCUCUUUCGCCGGUGAAGAAGGCCUGGCUCGUUGGUGUGGGGGUGGAGGUUAGCGGGAUAAGAAGCGCCGGCUAACUACGUG
rnacentral:rRNA from 1 species